GAUGAAGAACGUAGAGAAAUGCGAUAAGUAGUGUGAAUUGCAGAAUUCAGUGAAUCAUCGAGUCUUUGAACGCACAUUGCGCCCCCUGGUAUUCCGGGGGGCAUGCCUGUCCGAGCGUCAUUGCUGCCCUCAAGCACGGCUUGUGUGUUGGGCCUCCGUCCUCCUCCCGGGGGACGGGCCCGAAAGGCAGCGGCGGCACCGCGUCCGGUCCUCGAGCGUAUGGGGCUUCGUCACCCGCUCUUGUAGGCCCGGCCGGCGCUUGCCGACACAUCAAUCUUUUUUCCAGGUUGACCUCGGAUCAGGUAGGGAUACCCGCUGAACUUAAGCAUAUCAAUAAGCGGAGGA
rnacentral:misc_RNA from 1 species